rnacentral:rRNA from 1 species
AGUGAACGCUGGCGGUAGGCCUAACACAUGCAAGUCGAACGGCAGCACAGUAAGAGCUUGCUCUUACGGGUGGCGAGUGGCGGACGGGUGAGGAAUACAUCGGAAUCUACUUUUUCGUGGGGGAUAACGUAGGGAAACUUACGCUAAUACCGCAUACGACCUACGGGUGAAAGCAGGGGAUCUUCGGACCUUGCGCGAUUGAAUGAGCCGAUGUCGGAUUAGCUAGUUGGCGGGGUAAAGGCCCACCAAGGCGACGAUCCGUAGCUGGUCUGAGAGGAUGAAUAGCCACACUGGAACUGAGACACGGUCCAGACUCCUACGGGGGGCAGCAGUGGGGAAUAUUGGACAAUGGGGGAAAGCCUGAUCCAGCCAUACCGCGUGGGUGAAGAAGGCCUUCGGGUUGUAAAGCCCUUUUGUUGGGAAAGAAAAGCAGCAGGUUAAUACCCCGCUGUUCUGACGGUACCCAAAGAAUAAGCACCGGCUAACUUCGUG